rnacentral:rRNA from 1 species
UACGUAGGUGGCAAGCGUUGUCCGGAUUUACUGGGCGUAAAGAGCGCGCAGGCGGUCGUGCAAGUCGCGUGUGAAAGCCCCCGGCUCAACCGGGGAAGGGGGGCCGAUACGACCCGCCUGGAGGGGCGUAGGGGGACCUGGAACUCCGGUGGAGCGGUGAAAUGCGUUGAGAUCGGAAGGAACGCCCGUGGCGAAAGCGAGGUCCUGGACGCCUGCUGACGCUGAGACGCGAAGCUAGGGGAGCGAACGGG